rnacentral:rRNA from 1 species
AGUGAACGCUGGCGGUAGGCCUAACACAUGCAAGUCGAACGGCAGCACAGUAAGAGCUUGCUCUUACGGGUGGCGAGUGGCGGACGAGUGAGGAAUACAUCGGAAUCUACUUUUUCGUGGGGGAUAACGUAGGGAAACUUACGCUAAUACCGCAUACGACCUACGGGUGAAAGCAGGGGAUCUUCGGACCUUGCGCGAUUGAAUGAGCCGAUGUCGGAUUAGCUAGUUGGCGGGGUAAAGGCCCACCAAGGCGACGAUCCGUAGCUGGUCUGAGAGGAUGAUCAGCCACACUGGAACUGAGACACGGUCCAGACUCCUACGGGAGGCAGCAGUGGGUAAUAUUGGACAAUGGGCGCAAGCCUGAUCCAGCCAUACCGCGUGGGUGAAGAAGGCCUUCGGGUUGUAAAGCCCUUUUGUUGGGAAAGAAAAGCAGCAGGUUAAUACCCCGCUGUUCUGACGGUACCCAAAGAAUAAGCACCGGCUAACUUCGUG